UUCCUGGAACAGAAAAACAAAACAUGAGUGAUGGUUUGUACUUGUGCUGAUGUACAAUAUUUGACCUGACAGGGGAAAUGUCGCAUUGGGAAAAAGGCAGAAGUAAAAGAAAGCAUAAAGUGGAAGAGUGAUUCACAGUUCUUUACAGAGGCAGGACCCGCACCCAGCUCUACACGUCUCACCAAGGUCUCUCACAGCAGAUUUACAGAACAAAAUGCAGCCAUUCACAUCAUCAAUCAAAGCCUUGGGCAAGUUCUGGAAGCAGGUUGGAUGUUGAGGAGGCUGCAAAGCUACUAAAGAGGCUAUCUACGAUCAAUACUUCAAAGAGCGGAAAUGCCAGCACCUUCCAUCUAAAAAUGGAUCCAGUAGGUGGUAAGAUAAGUCCCAGCCAUCCAUCUUGACCCUUGGCCUUAUGGGAAAUGGAUCAAUUCAGAGUGUGUGUGUGUGUGUGUGUGUGUGUGUGUGUGUGUGUGUGUGUGUGUGUGUGUGUGUGUGUGUGUGUGUGUGUGUGUGCGUGCGCCUAGCAGAGAACGAAACAAAAACGUUGAGAGGAAAAGGAGCUAAUCGGCCUAUUAAAAAGCACAGUGGGAGAACAAUAAUGCCUGCUGGGAAUUAGAGUUUUAAUUGUCUCUGAAGUAGCGAGAGAUCAAUGAGCUUUCCCCGGGUCACAGGGAAAGAGAGGGGGCAUGAGGCACGAACGGAAGGAAAGAAAAGGGGAGGCGAGGUGGUGAGGUGGCAGGGUGCCAGUAUAAAGGGUGGGGGGUGGGGGGAGAACAGUUGGCUACUAUUGAUAAGGUGAGCCGAGGCACUUUAAGUCCUCUGCAGGACAAUUUUUCAGAGUGCUGUAAUUACGUGGCUGACAUUUCUUGUGCAAUUUUAUAAUUUCUUUUAUAAAUCAUGACUGGUGUGUGCUCCGAGGCGGCGGA